UUAAGUGGCUGAACUUUUCAUCAUCAUCCAAUCGUCGUCAUACAUUUACAAUAAUCAGGGUGAGCCACACCGGCAAAGGUCACAAGCCCAGCUCGGUCGCUGAAGAAGAACAAGACGAACUCCAACUACGGCUAGUUACUUAGUUAGGUCCCCAGCAGCUGAGGUACAUGACGGUCCUCAUCCCCUCCUCCGCGGCCUUGUCCGCCCGUCUCGUCUCCGCCGUCGUCGCCGCCGGCGGGGCCAGCUUCUUGGCCUGCGCGGCGAGGCUGCUGCGCACGUUGGCCUUGGCGGUCCGGUGGACGGACCGCAGCGCGUAGUUCCAGCGGCAUAGGCCCGCCUGGUCCUUGAGCGCCUCCACCGCGCCCACGCUCAUCGCCACCAUCCACGACGCCUUCGCCGCACCUGCCAUCUCCUGACUCCUGGUCUGGUCUUCUCUUUCUCCCUCGAGAGAGCGCGCGGUCACUGAUCGCUGAUCGCUUGUAGUAGCAAGUGAGGUUGCUUGAUGCUGUGUUGGGAGAGGCGAGCCGGGGCGGGUGGGUUUAUAUGUACCGGCGGGCGGCGGGAGGUCGGGGGCACGGCGGAAACGGGUGGGCGCGGACCCUGGUUUUCCUGGAUACCAGGGGCUCUCGCUCACUGGUCACUGCCUGCGGCUCGCUUUCUUGCGCGCCGGCCCAGUGGGUCGCCCACUUGACUCGUCGUCUUGUUUAUUCGCGGCAGAAUCGGAGACAGCGACGCGUGCCGCGCAACCGCAAAUACGGGAUGCCACGCGCACUGUGCCACUCACUGGCACGCAUCGUCAUUAUCCUUUGCAUUGUAGCUGGACUGAUUGGGAUUAGUGAAUAGAGAUGGGCACGCGGUGGACGGUGGUAGUAGUUUUUAUCAGAUCUGUGAUGGCCUGCUGUGCAUUGUCUUGCUUUCAGCAAACAGGACGAGGGAUCCUAUCCUAGCAUGUAGCGAUCUGUAAAUAAUGAAAUCCAUCGCGUGGAAUGAUGAGCAGGAUUCUACGGAUCAAUCGAGGCAGCCGUCCAGGAAUCUUGUUCACGUUCUUGGUGACCAUCGUUACUGUAUUUGUUAAGAUAAUCCCAUCCGUUUUUAACACGCUAAAUCACAUGGGUUAAUGGGUACAGCUGCAGAUUGUUUGUUCUGUUGUCACCGCACAGUGAGUGUGAGACACUGAAACUCUGAGGGUGACGUUUUUGGCAUAAUAUAACCAGACGCCACAGCACAUGGUUUUCCUUGAUAUACCACAGCACAUGGAGCGUUUGCUAACGCAACUUUUACAUGCAUGAAUGUUCACCGCGGUGUGAUUUGUGUGACACUGGUAAAGUAUGGGCUCAUAUCGUCUCGUUCUUACGCGUUACGCCAAAAUGAAAAAUAUCGUUUCGUUCAUAAAUAUGUCUCAACAUGUAAACAAGAUUUUUACGGUGUGAGGGUGGGUAAAACACAAUUUUUUCCACCAAAAGGGUCGCCAAAAACAUUUACGGUACGAUAUACAUAGACCAUCCCCCUGCAACUUUGGUCCGCCGAAUUAGGAGCAAAAACAACUCUGGCCCAAAAUCAAAAGAAGUAGACCAUGCAAUCACCCAAUGACCCAACACCGCAAGUGGCUGAAGCGUCGUCCCCACCCCCGCACUGCACCGGAGGGGGACGGAACGGAUGGGCGGGCCGGCCAGGAACAGGUGGCCGCGAUGAUGGUUUUCCUGCAUACCGGACCGGCACCGGGGGCUUUCCUUUGUUUGCGACAGAAACGGCUGGCCCGCGUCGCUUGCAGUUGCAGAGAUAGGAACGGACAGUAGACCCAGCAACCAUCACCGUGCCACUGGACCACUCCCCUGCCCAUCCUCUGUAUCUAGGCAAGACAGGCAAAUUACUUAAUUAAUUAUUUUUUAUCUAUAUUUAAUGUCUCACACAUGUACUAUAAAUUCGAUGUGAUAGAAAAUUUUGAAUUUUAGGAUGAACUAAACAAAACCUUGGUAUUGGUACUAGUUUCAGUAGAGAUUUCAUAUUUAGGUUUUGUUUAGGCCUUGUUUAGUUCAUCUAAAAACUAAAAACUUUUUAAGAUUUUUCGCCGCAUCGAAUCUUUUAUCACAUGUAUCAAAUAUUAAAUAUAGACAAAAACAAAAACUAAUUGCACAGUUUACCUGUAAAUCACGAGAUGAAUCUUUUGAGUUUAUUUAGUAUAUGAUUGGACAAUAAUUUCAAAUAAAAACGAAAAGCUACAGUACCCGAAAUAAAAAAAAUUAAACUAAACAAGCUUUAGGCCCCCUUUGGAACGAGGGGGAAACACAGGAAAAGUGAAGGAUAGGAAUUUCACAGGAUUUUUUCCUAUCCUGUCCUUUGGUUCACACGAAGAGCAAAGGAAAACUUCCGGAGGAUGGCAUUCCUACGCUCGAUUUCGGAGGAAAACGAGCAUGAGCUCAGAGCUCAUGGAAAGAAUCCUGGCACGAAAAGAAAAUGACUCGCGCGCACCUGCGGAGCUGCCAUGCUGUUCGGCGCUAAGCACGGGCGAGCGCCACCGCCGCGCGCGGGCCUCGCAGCUGUCGUGGGCGGCCCCUGCAUCGACGGAGGACGACGACCGGAGUCCAUAGCGACGCGGAGGCGGAGGCUGGAGCGGCGGCCGGCGGAGGAUGUGAGGCGGCGCGGAGCCCUCGAUGUUGGCGAGGCCGGCGCGGUGCGAGGCAACGGCGGAGGCUCGGAGCCCCGGCGCGGCCAGGCUACCCUUCGCUGCCGCGCGCGGGGAGAAAAAGCGGGCGCCGAGUGAGAGAGAUAGAGAGCCGCGCGGUGGGGCGGCGCCGUACGCCCGCGGCCGGGCCUGCCCAGUAGCGGCGACAGAGAGAGCCGAGGGGAUGCUCAGCAAGCAGCGCACGAGGUCGCGCGGCGGGAGGCACAGCUGGCCGAGAUCUGGCUGCGGAUUCGGCAGCACCGGGAGCGGACGCGCCGCGUGGCCGCCGGUGGGGAGAGCUGCGGGGUGGGGGCGCGGAUGGGGAGCGUCGCCGUCAGCCUCGGGCGCGCGCAGGUGGAGAGAGGUGGGGGGCGGAUGGGGGCGCCGCCGUCGGCCUUCCGGCCUCUCCCAGUAGAGAGCCGCGAGGGACGCGGAGGAUUUCGAACGCGGAUUGACGGGUGGGUGGGUGGGACCGUGGGAGUGUACCACUCAUUUCUGCAUUUUUUUUAUUAAUCCUGAGGGAUCGAGGGACCUGCCGCCAAAGGGUUUUUUGCUGCCUGCACUGUUCCGGUAGGAAUCAACAAGUCGCGCACUUGCAUUCCUACGAUUUUCCUUUUCCUAUCCUCCGCCUACAGUACAAUCCAAAGGGGGCCUUAGUUCCCACCUUAAAACUUCUCAUCCCAAGACAAAUGUUUUGAGCUUAUUUCAUGAGUAGAUACUAUAUAGUUAUAAAUGUACUACAAUAACUAAUAAUUUUUCUUUUCGCGAACUAAACAAGUCCUUACUUCUAAACUACACUAGUACUCUAUCCCAAAUUAUAAAUCAUUUUAAGAAUCUUAUAGAGUUAAAUCAUCUCAAGUUUGACUAAAUUUAUAUGAUAACAUAAUAAUAUUUAUGAUAUCAACUAAAUAUCAUUAGGUUCUUCAUUAGUUAUAUUCUUAUAGUAAUAUCUAUUUGUUGUUAUAAAUCUUUCUAAUUUUUUUCUAUAGUGUUAGUUAAAUUUGAGAUGCUUUAUAAAUUGGGAGGGAGUACAUCUGACUCGAGGUCAGCCUUCCCGCCUUCUCAGUAAACUAGUCCGUCUUUGCACUCACUGAAUCGCGUGGUUAGCUGUUUACAGGAAGGAACACAAAAGUAGAACUACAGCCAAACUGAAACGGAGUCAUGGAGACCCACUUUGCAUAAGCACAGUUUGUCCCUGAACCUCGGAGACCAUGAUUAGUUUACUCUUCGACGAUGAUCACGGUUGAGCAACGUGGACUGCAAAAUUUUGAUGCAGAGGGGCCUCUAAAUUGACCUCUGAUGAACCGAAACUGAGCUGAAAAAAGAGUCUUGCUGUAUCAUUUUUGUCCUCUAAGAGAUGCUCCUAAACUGUUGUCAUGGAAGAGUACAUCCCACAACCUGAGAUUGCCAUUCCACGUUUGCCAUCACCGAUUGUUCUGUUUCAGCACAUGGAGGCAUGAAACACCACCGAGUUCUUGUUUUGAACCCAGAGAGUUUAAAUCCCCACAUCCAAGUCUGCACAUUCAGUAUCAGAACCAUUCAAAUACUCAUGUGAAGGAAAAGAAACUUUUCAUCAUCAUCAUCAUCGUGAUCCUAUUCCUAUUUUACAAUCGCAGGAGGCAACCGGCCAGGUUUCAGGUCUCAACCCAGGCCAGGUUGCUGCACUGCAAGCCGAGACAGGGACGGCUGAACUGAACACGGAAGCCUAGCUCUAAUUGGGGCCCCAGCAGCUGAGGUACAUGACGGUCCUCAUCCCCUCCUCCGCCUUGUCCGCCCGCUUCUUCUCCGCCGGCGCCAGCUUCUUCUUGGCCUGCGCGAAGCUGGGAGCGUUGGCCUUGGCGGCCCGGUGGACGGACCGCAGCGCGUAGUUCCAGCGACAGAGCCCCGCCUGGUCCUUGAGCGCCUCCACGGCGCCCACGCUCAUGGCCACCAUCCACGACGCCUUCGCUGCAGCGGCCAUCUUUGUAUCUGCUUCUUGAGCUGGAGCCUAACGCGCCUUGUUUUUGCUACAGAGUGAGAUCUGGUUGUUGCCUUGGUGAAUUGGUGAUCGGUGUAGAUGCUGUGAGUGAGCGAGGUGGGGCGUGGUGGGUUAUAUAUACCGGAGGGAGGACUGCAAACAAGCGGCCGCGGGCGCUGGUUUUCCUGGAUACCGGGGGCUCUCCGCUCUCAUUGCCUUGUUUCCCGGCAGGUCGCUUUCCCCGCACCGGCCCCUUGCUCGGCUCACCUAUCUCGUCGUCUUGUUUAUUCGCCGCAGAAACGGCCGGUCUUCAGUGUCGCGGGCAGAAACGACGAAGAGCGUGCCGCGCAACCGUUUCUGCCACAGCACACGAGCACGAUGCAUCUUCUCUCAAAGCAAGGCUAAUAAUAUAGCCGGCUGCUGGGCUGUAAGGUUUUUUUACAGCUUUUUUACGGUCUACUCAUAUAAUGGUUAGCUCAUCACUAUUAAUAUAUGACUCACUUGUCUGUCUUAUAAAUUUUUUUGGUUUUUGUGUCUGAGCCGGCUGCAAGGCCAGUCUCAGUGGAGGUUUCACCAGGAUGUUAUGCACAUUUAUUAGAGCGCCAUGUCAGCAAAACUGCACUUUUUGCAUGAAACAAAGAGAAGAGAGAAGGAAGUAGUUUCACCAUGGUGAAACUCCGCUGGCGUUGUUUCCCACGCGGUGAAACAGGAUGAAAUCUCCAUUGAGGACUAAAUCGUUUCACCAUCUUGCAUGUGAUCCAAUCAUUUUGCAGUAAUUAAAUGCUUUGCCCAGCUUAGGAAAUAUCAAGAUGGAACUCUGCGUUGUGGAGGUUGUUUCAUUUUUCGUUUCAUUGAUGCUCUGUCAGCAUAUUUGUUUUGGAAACAGUGCAUUGAAACGGGCCAUUGAGACUGACCUAAGUUUACAGGCUGCUUUUACUCUCUCUCCUAUUCUCUCUCUUCCAUCUCAGCAUUUAGUCAGCUUACAGCUUGCUAUAAUACUUGCUCUUACAGUAGUACUGAAAACUGGAGUACAAUUUGGUCUACCAAUUAGGAAGGAAUCAAGCAAAGUAGAUGUUUUUUUUUAUGUUUUAUAUAUCCUACCAAGUGGUGGCCGCCCGUGCGUUGUCAGCGAACAUGAGGGAGGGAGGGAGCUGCCAGAUUUAAGGUCUCACUCGAGUCGUCCAGCAGUCCAGGAAUCUUCUUGCUUUCUUGAUGAAUUUGAGCGGCAUUAAGCUAAUCUGUUUCCACGCACUGAGUCACAUGAGUUAGCUGCAGUUGUUACCGCGUGCUUUUGGAGCAGCAGCGAGAAGAGCCCGACACUCGUUUGGCUUAUAAGCCAUAGCAAAAAAUAUUGUUAGCUGAUUUGUUAUAAAAGAAAAAUAUUAUUGAAUAACUAGCCGAUUGAGAGCGAUUGCUGAUGCCUGAUGCAGUUUAUGUGGAGGGAAAAUGGUAUUUGAACAUAGAUAACGCUCUGCUGUGGUCGUCUGUGAGACUGUGACUCAGCUUCUCAGCAACUAGCUACAUCAACCUGACGUUCAGUACUGGGCUUCAUCCAUCUCGUUUGUCUUCCAUCAACACUUCUCGAGAGCCAAAUGCUAGUUUGGGGGUAUGUCCUCUGUACUUCUUCAGCGGGUUGUUUGGGAGUAGAAAGAACUAGAAACUGUCAAACUGAAAUGGAGACCGUGCUGUUACUUUGCUUCAUCAUAAAGAUAAACGCCGCUAUUUCCCUAAAUAAAACGUUGGAGCUCAGACCUGAGAUUAACUUAACCUCCGAUCAGCAUGAGUUAGACUGUAUAAGCUUUUUUUUCUUAUCAUUAUGCUCUAAAGGGUCAUCAAGUGACGGGGUUCAGAACCUGAGAUUAUCAUCUCAAAUCUGCCUUGAUCGAUUGUUCUACCGUACCGUAGCACAUCGAAGCAAGCAACGAACCACAGAAAGCUAUUGUUGAGUUGUUUUGAGCGCAAAGAGAGAUCGAGGAGAGCACAGUACUCCAAUUACAGAAGGCAGAAGCAUUCAUUCAUAUACUCAGAAUGAAGAAACAGAACUUUUCAUCAUCAUCAUCGUGGUCAUAUUUUUACAACCAGAGGACCGAUCUGGGUUACUGAAAGCUGGAAAAGAGCUAGAGGACCUAAGCAACUAUGCCCAAUAACUAAUUAGGGCCCCAGCAGCUGAGGUACAUGACGGUCCUCAUCCCCUCCUCGGCCUUGUCCGCCCGCCUCCUCUCCGCCGGCGCCAGCUUCUUCUUGGCCUGUGCGAAGCUGGGAGCGUUGGCCUUGGCGGCCUGGUGGAUGGACCGCAGCGCGUAGUUCCAGCGGCAGAGCCCCGCCUGGUCCUUGAGCGCCUCCACGGCGCCCACACUCAUCGCCACCAUCCACGACGCCUUCGCUGCUGCCGCCAUGUCCGUCCUUCUCCUGCUCCUCCUCGGUUCUUGGUGGCUACAGAGUUCGGUUGGUCAGGUGUGCUGCUCGCUGAAUCGCCGAUGACUCACAGUAGGAUGUCAAGUUGUGUGAUGCUGUGUUGUGGUGAGCUGGGAGGCGGGCCGGCGGGGCGAGUUAUAUAGCGGAGGGAGGCCGGCCGCGAGGGGUGGGCCGGCGGAAACAGGUGGCCGCGGACGCUGGUUUCCCUGGAUACCGGGGGCUCCGAUCGCACUCUCCUCCAUGCUUGUCUACGUUACGCCGCAGAGGCGAUCGCUUUCUCGGCACCACACCGGCCCAGUGGGUCACUUGGCUAUCUUGUCUUGUUCCGUGAUGGGAUAACGCAUCUCUGGAUCACUGAAUCUAGUCUGCUUGUGCUUUACAAUUGUCCUUUCGGUUUUUACCAUAUGGCUUAGCUGAUUAUAUUAAACUAAUCCGUUUCUAAUGCAAUGAAGCACAUGGAUUUGCUGCAGAUUUUUUUAUUAUUUAUUUAUUUUACCACAUACUCAUGGAUCACUGAGAGGGACAUUGCGGGAUUGCUGGACGCCAUAGGACAUGGUUUCCAGGAUACCGUGGGCUAUUCCGCUAUUUGCUGAUGCCAUUCGGGCAUGUUUGGUUACGGUCCUACCAGACCACCAAUCAAACACGUCCUUUAUGCGUCUAUAUAGAAAAAAAAAACUAUUUAAACACCACCGUGCUGCGGGCAUGUGGCCUGUGACUGACAGCUUCUCAAUGAACCGUACUUUUACGGAAGCAAUCAAAUUUUACCUGUCUGGCGGUGGUUCAAACAUGAACAACCCCUAACUUCCCUUCUUUCUGCUUCUGUCAUUUACCGACGACUCCCAUGUCGUCCUCUUGCCGUGACAGGGAUGAUAUCACCCUUUUCCCUGUCAUGGACUCGUGUGUCAUUUAGCAACCGCUGAUUAUUGCAAAGUAGAGAGUGCCACACGGAAAUAGAGGCCGUGCUGUUGCUUUGCUUCACCACAAAUCAAGCACAGUUUUUUCCCCCCUAAAAACUUGGACGCCAUGUUCAUGUCUAACUGAAUUCUGUUCAUUAAUGUGGACUAGGUAAAGGUGUGCGAGGUUCGCACGGGUAGGCCUGAAAUGAAGCUUUAAAAAACUGUGCUUGAUCUAUGCUGUCAUUUCCUCCGCUGCUGCGGGUCAUGGUCAUCAAAGUGCAGUGUUCAGAAUAUGAGGUUAUCAUCUCAUAGCAUUUGAGUGAUUGUCGCUGCUUUAAUUAGCACACCGAAGCAUCGAAUUCGAAUCCCCACGAACUCUUGUCAGCGCAGAGGAUUCGUAGAAAGCACAACAACAAGCAUUAGGCAACAGAAGCAUCCAUAUACUUGGAUGAACUGACAGAACUUUUCACCAUCAUCAUUUGCUCUUCUAUAUUUACAGUCAGGAGGACGAAUCGGCCGCCAAGCUCGCUCAUCUGCUGAAACCUCAAAGCUGGAACAGAGCAAGAGGACCUAAGAGGCUAAGACCUAUGACGACUAAUUAGGGCCCCAGCAGCUGAGGUACAUGACCGUCCUCAACCCCUCCUCCGCGGCCUUGUCCGCCCGCCUCCUCUCCGCCGGCGCCGGCGCCAGCUUCUUGGCCUGCGCGAAGCUGGGAGCGUUGGCCUUGGCGGCCUGGUGGAUGGACCGCAGCGCGUAG
rnacentral:lncRNA from 1 species